GACAGAGGGUGCGAACGUUGUUCGGAAUUACUGGGCGUAAAGCGUGUGUAGGCGGCAAGGCAAGUCGGAUGUGAAAAUCCCGUGGCUCAACCAUGGACGUGCACUCGAAAACUGCCUAGCUAGAGUCUCGGAGAGGAAGGUGGAAUGCUUGGUGUAGAGGUGAAAUUCGUAGAUAUCAAGCAGAACACCUGUGGCGAAGGCGGCCUUCUGGACGAUGACUGACGCUGAGACACGAAAAGCGUGGGGAGCAAACAGG
rnacentral:rRNA from 1 species